rnacentral:rRNA from 1 species
UACGUAGGGUGCAAGCGUUGUCCGGAAUUAUUGGGCGUAAAGAGCUUGUAGGCGGUUUGUCGCGUCUGCUGUGAAAUUUCGGGGCUCAACCCCGAACUUGCAGUGGGUACGGGCAGACUAGAGUGCGGUAGGGGAGACUGGAAUUCCUGGUGUAGCGGUGGAAUGCGCAGAUAUCAGGAGGAACACCGGUGGCGAAGGCGGGUCUCUGGGCCGUAACUGACGCUGAGGAGCGAAAGCAUGGGGAGCGAACAGG